rnacentral:lncRNA from 1 species
GGCUUGUAAUCUGAUGUACAGUUGUCGUCGUCUGUUUAUGUAGUGCAUAGGUGUUUCUCAUUUUUAUAUAGAUUAGAACGUUGGUUUUCCGGUUUGAAUGGUUUUACACUAGUAAUUUGUUGGGGCCCUUUAUAGCUUGCUGUUCGGUGUGAGCCAAGGCUCCGUGUUGAAGGCCGUACCUUGACCUGUAAUGGUUUACUUUUAUAAAUUGUUACUUGGAUGGAGAGUUAUCUCAUUGGCACUCAUACCACAUCUUCCUAUAUCUAUAGUAGUCUUUCCCUCAUAAUUUGUUUUUGUUACCUGUUUUAAAAUCAUAUAGUUUCC